rnacentral:rRNA from 1 species
AUGACGUAGCGGGGACGGGGAGUAACACGUGGGCAACCUGCCUGUAAGACUGGGAUACUCCGGGAAACCGAGCUAAUACCGAUAACAUUUGCAUAAGAGAAAAUUGAAAGAUGGUUUCGGCUAUCACUUCAGAUGGGCCCCGGUGCAUUAGCUAGUUGGUGAGGUAACGGCUCACCAAGGCAACGAUGCAUAGCCGACCUGAGAGGGUGAUCUGCCACUUUGGGACUGAUACUCUGUCUUGAUUCCUACGGGAGG